GACGAACGCUGGCGGCGUGCUUAACACAUGCAAGUCGAACGGAAAGGCCCUGCUUUUGUGGGGUGCUCGAGUGGCGAACGGGUGAGUAACACGUGAGUAACCUGCCCUUGACUUUGGGAUAACUUCAGGAAACUGGGGCUAAUACCGGAUAGGAGCUCCUGCUGCAUGGUGGGGGUUGGAAAGUUUCGGCGGUUGGGGAUGGACUCGCGGCUUAUCAGCUUGUUGGUGGGGUAGUGGCUUACCAAGGCUUUGACGGGUAGCCGGCCUGAGAGGGUGACCGGCCGCGGGCGGGCCGGGCUGCCGGCCCACCGUCGUCGGGGCGGGGGCGUUGGGGGUGUGCGGACACGGGUGGGGGGUCUCCGCCGGCUGCGGCGCGUGGGGGGCGUGGCCCUUCGGUGUGUAACCGGGUUGCCCGGUUGCCGAGGGUGGGGUGAGGGUAAGGGUUAGAGAAGCCCCGGCACACUGCGCACCCGCAGCCGGGGUAACACGGGGACUACCACCUGUUUCACC
rnacentral:rRNA from 1 species